rnacentral:tRNA from 1 species
GGAGAGGUCGCAUAGUGGUCGAGUGCACGCGCUUGGAAAGCGCGCAGGGCGAAAGCUCUCGCGGGUUCGAAUCCCGCUCUCUCCGCCA